AUGUUAUAUUCUGCUUUUGUAAGUUUGCUGGUCCAUAUUAAUUUCCUCGAGCUUAGUCUAAGGAGGCGGUAUGUUCAACAAUUAGGUGUAGCGGAGAUGCGUAUGUUGAGAUGGAUGUGUGGCCACACGAGGAAGGAUCGAGUCCGGAAUGAUGAUAUACGAGAUAGAGUUGGGGUAGCACCAAUUGAGGAGAAGCUUGUCCAACAUCGUCUGAGAUGGUUUGGGCAUAUUCAGCGAAGGCCUCCAGAAGCUCCAGUGCAUAGCGGACGGCUAAAGCGUGCGGAGAAUGUCAAGAGAGGGCGGGGUCAACCGAAUUUGACAUGGGAGGAGUCCGUUAAGAGAGACCUGAAAGAUUGGAGUAUCGACAAAGAGCUAGCUAUGGACAGGGGUGCGUGGAAGCUUGCUAUCCAUAUGCCAGAGCCAUGA
rnacentral:rRNA from 1 species